AUACGUAGGGGGCAAGCGUUAUCCGGAUUUACUGGGUGUAAAGGGAGCGUAGACGGCAAAGUAAGUCUGAAGUGAAAGCCCCGGGCUCAACCCGGGAACUGCUUUGGAAACUAUUUAGCUAGAGUGCAGGAGAGGUAAGUGGAAUUCCUAGUGUAGCGGUGAAAUGCGUAGAUAUUAGGAGGAACACCGGCGGCGAAGGCGGCUUACUGGACUGUAACUGACGUUGAGGCUCGAAAGCGUGGGGAGCAAACAGGAUUAGAUACCCUGGUAGUCACGCCGUAAACGAUGAUCACUAGGUGUUGGGAGGCAAAGCCUUUCGGUGCCGCAGCUAACGCAAUAAGUGAUCCACCUGGGGAGUACGUUCGCAAGAAUGAA
rnacentral:rRNA from 1 species